GGCCGCGUGCCCCAUUGAGCGGCCACUCAAAGAAACGCCUCGUGAGUGUGGGGCUCGGCUGCCACUCCUCCAGACUUAAAAAUCCACCACCGGAGCCCCAAUGGCUGCCGCCGGAGACCUCAAGUCGGAGUACCGCCAGGUUCUGCUCAACCGCCGCCGCGAAACCGAGCUCGUGGCGACCCAGUCCCGGUGCCUCUGACCAUGGAGCAAGGGAGUUCGGUGAAGGAGCUAUUGUACCAAGGCAACCGUCCUGUGUCUCAGAAAGAUCAGGAUCCUCCAUCGAUCUGAGCAAACACAUUCCAUCUUCCAGAUCGAAGUUAUUGUGUCGAUUCUGCUGUUUUUCUCAAGACAUGGAGCCGUACCCGAGGAAAAAGGUGUUAAGUGGAUACAGUGCACAUUGCACACUACUUCCAUCUUCGCAGUUGAAAUUGAGAUCAGUGAAAACCAACUACAUUUGAGCAGCCCAAAAGGGUCGCCAUCGCCGACGACCCGAGGCCUUCGCGCACCGGCUCGUCGAGGAGCUCCGCCUGGGCCACCGUAGGCCAAGGCAGCCCGCCGCCCACCUUAUCCUCCCGAAGCUCUGCAGACGACGUCGCCCCGAACUGCUCCGCCAGUCGCCGGACGAGCCCACGGCCGCCGCACAGACCACCCCUCGUCUCGCCAUUGCUCCGGUCGUGUGCCGCCAACGCGUUUGUCGCGCGCCUCCACAACCGCAGAAGAACACCAUGGCUCCGCUCGAGCUACUCCCUGUUGCGAUUGCAUCUGCGUGUGUGUGCCAUGGCCGACGACCUCGGACGUGAGCGGGACGAGCGGCUGCCGAAUCUCGCCGGCGCGUCUGGAUGCGUGCGUGACUCGCGACGGCUAGGCGUGCGGGCUACAGGGCGAGGCUGUCAGGGGCUAGCUCGAGCAGGGGCACGGCUGCCAUGGCAACGGUGGUCAUGGAGCUCUCGGCUCGCAUGGAUGCAGAUGACUUGGGCAUCCAUGCCGACGGGAGCAACAUCGGCCUUCGAUGACUCACGGCGCCCCCCACCCCCACCACCACCAUGGUGCUCGCCGCUGAAUCGCCGGUGCCUCUGGUCGCUGGAGUCCGGCUGCCCGCAAGCUGCUCGAUGUAAUGCCCCAUAGAAAGGCAGAUAGGAAGAAGAUGAUAAUGUAGUCACUGACAUGCGGGGUCCGCAUAUCAUUUGCCAACUCAGCUGUUUACUGUUUUUUUU